CUGCAGCCCGAGUGGUGAUCGAUUUUAUUGAGCCUAAAGCGUCCGUAGCCGGACUAGUAAACCCUUGGGUAAAUUGGGCAGCUUAACUGUCCAAAUUCCGAGGGGACUGCUAGUCUUGGGACCCGGAGAGGUCAGAGGUACUCAAGGGGUAGGGGCUAAAUCCUGUAAUCCUUUGGGGACCACCAGUGGCGAAGGCGUCUGACUAGAACGGAUCCGACGGUAAGGGACGAAACCCUGGGGCGCGAACCGGAUUAGAUACCCGAGUAGUCC
rnacentral:rRNA from 1 species